CACAUAGGAGGCGAGCGUUGUCCGGAAUCAUUGGGCGUAAAGAGCGCGCAGGCGGCCCGGCAAGUCGGGUGUGAAAUCCCGGGGCUCAACCCCGGGACUGCAUUUGAUACUGCCGGGCUAGAGGUAGGUAGGGGAGAUCGGAAUUCCUGGUGUAGCGGUGAAAUGCGCAGAUAUCAGGAGGAACACCGGUGGCGAAGGCGGAUCUCUGGGCCUUACCUGACGCUCAGGCGCGAAAGCUAGGGGAGCGAACAGG
rnacentral:rRNA from 1 species